ensembl:lncRNA
AUGGUACGUUUCAUAAUAAGGCAGGAAGGCAGCUCCACCUUUGGAAGCCUCUGUGUUGUGGUUCCGCUAGUUAAGAAUCUAUCCUCCCAACUGAUACUGACACCUCAAUUGUACUUAAGGGGCACCACCCCUCCGCCAUUGGAUGAAAUGUUACUUUGUCUGUGAGUCAAGGUAUCCCACCCUCCUCUGGCCAAGGAGUGGGCAUGUGACUUGUAUUUGUUUCCUAUUGCUGCAUAAGAAAGAACCAUAAACUUAAUGGCUUAAAACAACACACAUUUAUUACCUCACAGUUUCUGUAGGUGAGGAGUGUGAUUAUGUGUUCACUGGGUUCUUUGCUCAGGGUCUCAUCUGGUCUCAAGGUGGUGACUGGGGCUGCAAUCUCAUCUGAGGUUUGGGGUCCUUUUCUAAGUUAACUAGUUGUUGGCAGAAUUCAGCUCCUGUGGUUGUAAGACUUGCUGCUUGUCAGUAGGGGGGCAUUUUCAGUUCCUAUAGGCUGCCCACUUUGUUCCUUGCCAUGUGGCUGUUUCCACAGCAUGGUACUUUGCUUCUUCAAGAUCAGCAUGAUAAUUCCUCUGUAGUCUGCUACAAUGGAGUUUUAUAUAAUAGAAUGAAAUUAUGAAAGUGAUUAUUCUAUUAUAUUCAUAAGUCCUGCAGAAGUGAAGGGGAUUAUUUAGGGAGUGUAAUAGCAGGGGUGGGAAUCUUGGGGACAUCUUAGAUUUUUGCCUACCACACAAUUCAAGCUAGGCCAAUCAGACCCCAAAUCCUUGUUCUUUCUUUUACACAGUUGUAUUAUGAAAAUUUCACACAAAACACAUAGUAACCAACAAGAGGUGAUCAAAGUGUGGUAAUUUUAACUUAGCUGCCUUGUGUGCUUUUGCAUUUCACUUGAAAGGAAUAGGUUUGACUACAAAUGCAGAGUUUUAGAGGCUUUGCCACUAUUUAGGAUUUCUUUUCUGUAAUUUUAUAUGAAUUGGAGAAUAACUCUAGGUAUAUGUUUUGGAUACCAUAUGUGAGAGGACUUAGUACAAAUUGGACAAAGAAUAUUAUGAAGUUAUUGGCAAUAAAACCUUCAUUAAGCUUUAGUCAGUAAAUUAAAUGUAUCAUGAAAAGUGAUGGAAAUAAUUACCAAGGAAUUGCUGCAUUGCAAAUGACCGUACUUUUAAAACUUAAGUAAUUAAUUGUGGGUUGGAUUUUAGUCACUGUGGUACUUAUACGUAAAUGUUUGAAGAAGGUUGAAGAUAUGUCCUAGUUAGCACUAGGUAAGCUUACUUACAGGAUUUUCGUACCUAAGCAGUCUCUUAAUGCCAUGGCCAAUUAAGAAGUAAGAAGAAUCAAGAAGGAUGGGGUCUUCUUUUCUUAAACGGUGUGAUGCCAGUGUAAUAUUCAACCUCGAAUUCUCAAAAAAGUAGUUUUCUUUGACUUUGUGAUAGCAGAGAUCUGGACUUACCAAAGACAUCUUAAUCUAUUUUUUUAAACCAAAUCAGAUAUCGAAGGGCAGAAUAAGCUUGUUAAGAAUGAAAUCUUAUACCCAGUUAUUUAUAGAAAUGAAUUGAUUCCCUAUAAAACUCUAUGGACAAGCUCUAUAUAUGGGGUUGAUGUAGUGGGAUUUUUAUAAAGGCAACUGAAAUGAACAAUUUUAAGGAUUACAUUAAAAUACAGCUAUGAUCAAUGUACUGGGAUUAUAAUUGGGGCACAACUAGAUCCACAGACCACCAAUCUUAUAACUUUAAGGAGUUAUAGCACCGUUUUAUUUCCUUACAAGAUACUGUCAUCCCUUUUACUAAUUCUUAUUUUUUGGGGGGGCUAUUACAUUAUAUAGGAAACCAAGUCUUUUUCCUUGACUGUAUUAGUCAGGGUUCUCUAGGGAAACAGGGUCCCUAAGAUAUAUGUGUGUGUAUAUGUGUGUGUGUGUGUAUGUGUACGUAUGUAUAUAUAUACAUAUACACAUGAGGAGAUUUAUUAUAGGAAUUGCUUUAUGUGGUUAGGGAGGCUGAGAAGUCUCAUGAUCUGCCAUCUGCAAGCUGAAGAACCAGGAAAACUGGUGAUAUAGUUCAGUUCAGGUCUGAAAGCUCAAAAACCAAAAAUGCUGAUGUCUGGGGGCAGAAAAAGAUGGAUGUCUCAGCUCAGUAAGAGAGAGAAAAAAUUUGCCUUUCCUCUGCCUUUUUGUCCUAUUUAGGCCCUCAGUGGAUUGGAUACUGCCUGCCUGCAUUGGUGAGGGUGGUCUUCUUUACUCACUCUACUGAUGCACAUGUUUAUCUCUUCUGGAGAUACCUUCACAAACAUACCCAUAGAUAACAUUUUACCAGAUAUUUGGACAUCUGUAUUAAUCAGGGUUCUCUAGAGGGACAGAACUAAUAGGAUAGACAUGUAUAUGAAAGGGAGUUUAUUAAGGAGAAUUGACUCACAUGAUCAGAAGGUAAAGUCCCACGAUAGGCUGUCUGCAGGUUGAGGAGAAAGGAAGCAAGUGGUGGAUCACUCUGAGUCCCAAAACCUCAAAAGUAGGGAAGCUGACAGUGCAACAGCCUUCAGUCUGUGACCAAAGGCCCGAGAGCCCCUGGCAAGCCACUGGUGUGAGUCCAAAAGCUGAAGAACUUUGAGUCUGAUGUUCGAGGGCAGGAAGCAUCCAACACAGGAGAAAGAUGAAGGCCGGAACACUUGGCAAGUCUGCUCUUUCCAACUUCUGCCUGCUUUAUUCUAGCCACGUUGGCAGCUGAUUAGAUGGUGCCCACCCAGAUUGAGGCUGGGUCUGCCUCUCCCAGUCCACUGACUCAAAUGUUUAUCUCCUUUGACAUCACCCUGACACAUACACCCAGGAACAAUACUUUGCAUCCUUCAAUCCAAUCAAGUUGACAGUAUUAACCAUCACAGCAUCCGUUAGCCCAGUCAAGUUGAUACCUAAAAUUAACCAUCACAUUGACCUUAGAGAGCUCAUCUAUGCCCAUGCCUUUAAAUACACAAGAGAUAUUUGCUAAAUAUUUAUUGUUUAAAGCUGCCAUGUUUAGGGAUAGUUUGUCAUACAGCAAUAGAUAACUAAGGCAUUUAGUUUUUCCUCCUAGAACUAGAUACCUUUGCUCCCUUCCAUGUUUCUGUCAGAUGUUUUCUGUUUACCCAGCAGGCUGGAAGACACUCUUGAUUCAUUAAAAUGCCUAGUACAGUGUUUAAUAUAUAGUAG